UGGGGAAUAUUGCACAAUGGGCGCAAGCCUGAUGCAGCAACGCCGCGUGAGGGACGACGGCCUUCGGGUUGUAAACCUCUUUUAGUAGGGAAGAAGCGAAAGUGACGGUACCUGCAGAAAAAGCACCGGCUAACUACGUGCCAGCAGCCGCGGUAAUACGUAGGGUGCGAGCGUUGUCCGGAAUUAUUGGGCGUAAAGAGCUCGUAGGCGGUCUGUCGCGUCUGCUGUGAAAACCCGAGGCUCAACCUCGGGCCUGCAGUGGGUACGGGCAGACUAGAGUGCGGUAGGGGAGAAUGGAAUUCCUGGUGUAGCGGUGGAAUGCGCAGAUAUCAGGAGGAACACCGAUGGCGAAGGCAGUUCUCUGGGCCGUAACUGACGCUGAGGAGCGAAAGCGUGGGGAGCGAACAGGAUUAGAUACCCUGGGUAGUCCACGCCGUAAACGUUGGGCGCUAGAUGUGGGGACCAUUCCACGGUUUCCGUGUCGCAGCUAACGCAUU
rnacentral:rRNA from 1 species